UAUUCUGCCCCACGGGGAAGGAUGAGAAGCUUCGACCAAGGUUCGACUCGAGCGAANNAGAACGUUGCCGCAGGCAAUGGCCCGAAGGCGAGGCGCUUUAGCGCCGAGUAAUCCUUCCCCCACCACUG
rnacentral:sRNA from 1 species